rnacentral:tRNA from 1 species
GGGGAAUUAGCUCAGCUGGGAGAGCGCUUCGCUGGCAGUGAAGAGGUCGACGGUUCGAUCCCGUUAUUCUCCACCA